UUCACAACAGUUUAACAAAACUCUUUAAUAAAAUUCAUAAAAAUGCAUCUUAGAGAACAGUUCCGAUUGCUUGCCUUUUCCACUCCCCACAAAAUACAAAAUUAUCAGCACCCACACACAUAUACACUCAAACUACAUACAAAGGGCACGCUAUCAACAUUAGACAAUUAAACUACAGAGAAACCAACAGUUCUCACAGUUGAUUGCAGUCAUCAUUUGCUUCCAAAAUUAUGUGAGUACAGCAAUUUCAAUGAAAAGUCUCAAGGGCCUUGCCUCCCUUUUCCCAUCAGAGUGGUGUUUUCUUCCUGCUUUCUGAGAAAAUGCACAAUCUCUAAUAUUCUCAGUUUUCUUUUUUGGUUUUCCAAGACAGAGUUUCUGUGUAGCCCUGGCUGUCCUGGAAUUCACUUACUAUACCAGGCUGACCUUGAACUCAGAGAGAUCUGAGACUGUCUCUGCCUCCCGAGUGCCGGGAUUAAAGGCGUGCACCAACACACCCAGCAUAGUCUCAGUUUUCUAUUUGUACUUAAGAUUGGGCAACUCAGGUCCAAAUCAGCCGGUCUUUUCUAUAACUACCAUCAAAAGCAGGCACUAGAGGGGUGUAUUUCCUGGGCUUCAGGAACACAUACAUGGACAGGAUUCCAGCUAGGAAACAUUGGCUGAGACAACCCUAAUUCUUCCAGAAAUUUUGUGGGACGAGGUCUAGCCUCCUUGUACCCUCACCAUCAGUGUGCCAACUGGCCAGGUUCACGGACAUGUGGCCACCCACAUGACUCAUGACAGUGGUCAGGUUCACUGGCAUGCUUGCUGUCCCCAAGCUUGGCUUCUCUCCUCUAUCUUUGGUGGUGGCACUCCAGUCUCUCUCAGAAAAAACCAUUUUUUACUGCUGGUUUGAAAGAAACGCAAGAAACCACGGUGUCCGAAAACCUCGCUGCAGGUCCCGGUCACAGCAUUGGAUAGAGAACCAAAGCAACAUAUCUCACUAUGGCAUCUGCCUAAGAAUCAGGUGUGCACCUUAGAAUCUUCGCAGCUUGCAUAGUGGUCCCAUUAUUUUUUUGUUCUGCCCCAAACACACAGCUGAAUAAGUAAAGACACUCUGGAGGUGGGGAGAGAACACAGGAAAGGUGUUUGAAACAUACACUAUCCAGCUCAGUUGCACCCACACCAAGAAACCUGUCUCUUACCAUAAAAGGGCCCAGGCACUACUGUGUCACAGAAUAGCACCUGGGCCAGGCAACAGAAUUCAGGAACUUAGUGGCUAUUAGAAUACAGAACAUAAACAUGGUAAUUGAGUGAAAGUAUACAAUGUAAAAAAAUUAGUGAGGGGUGAAGGGCUUGGGGGCUGUGUGUCCGGAGCAGAACAUAGCUC
rnacentral:lncRNA from 1 species